UACGGGGGGGGCAAGCGUUGUUCGGAAUUACUGGGCGUAAAGGGCGCGUAGGCGGCCAACUAAGUCAGACGUGAAAUCCCUCGGCUUAACCGGGGAACUGCGUCUGAUACUGGAUGGCUUGAGUUUGGGAGAGGGAUGCGGAAUUCCAGGUGUAGCGGUGAAAUGCGUAGAUAUCUGGAGGAACACCGGUGGCGAAGGCGGCAUCCUGGACCAACACUGACGCUGAGGAGCGAAAGCCAGGGGAGCAAACGGG
rnacentral:rRNA from 1 species